AUACGUAGGGAGCGAGCGUUGUCCGGAAUUACUGGGUGUAAAGGGUGCGUAGGCGGGGGACCAAGUCAGGUGUGAAAACUAUCGGCUCAACCGAUAGCCUGCACUUGAAACUGGUUCUCUUGAGUGAAGUAGAGGCAGGCGGAAUUCCCGGUGUAGCGGUGAAAUGCGUAGAGAUCGGGAGGAACACCAGUGGCGAAGGCGGCCUGCUGGGCUUUAACUGACGCUGAGGCACGAAAGCAUGGGUAGCAAACAGGAUUAGAUACCCUGGUAGUCCAUGCCGUAAACGAUGAUUACUAGGUGUGGGUGGUCUGACCCCAUCCGUGCCGGAGUUAACACAAUAAGUAAUCCACCUGGGGAGUACGGCCGCAAGGUUGAA
rnacentral:rRNA from 1 species